ACAACAUAAUCCUGUUAUAAUUUUGUUGUGAACAUGUUUAUCUUUGUGGUGUACAAAGAAGCACCGGAGCUAUCUCUCUUCAAGAUCAAAUCCUCAGAGGAAAUGGAAGAUGAGUCCGUUGAGAAAACAUUACUGGUUUAUCCGUACUGUCCCGUGAGAAUCAUGCUGGAGUAUAUAAGGAAGAAAUGCAGGCUAGCCAUAUUCACGAAGUUCGAUCUUUGUGACGAAAGCGGCGUGCUAAUGGGACUGUUCAACAUGGCGACAUAUAUAUACGCCACACACCUGUUCGAACACAAGAAGACAUAUUACCUUAUUGUCCUGAGAAUGGGUUCAGAUAACAAAUUCUCCAUCUUGCCUCAACUAAAUCAUUCGAACGUGAAAUAUAACGACAUGAAAGAAAAAGUGUCGAGGUUCAUGGCCGGUUCACAUGAAAGUCUUUCUAUACCUACACAACUAAGUAUUUCGUCCACUAUACAGUCAAAGAAACCAUUAGCCACCUCGAGAACUUCCAGAAAGAAAAAAUAACGCCUCCACUAUUACUUAGAUCGUUUAUGCAUUGAAUGGUUUUUGCUAUUAUAAUUUAACAGGCGCUUAGAAUGUGUAAAAUAAUAAAUCUAGAUUGAUGUUAGUAUUUUGUUGUAUU